rnacentral:rRNA from 1 species
AUGACGGUACCCGCAGAAUAAGCCCCGGCUAACUUCGUGCCAGCAGCCGCGGUAAUACGAAGGGGGCCAGCGUUGUUCGGAAUCACUGGGCGUAAAGCGUACGCAGGCGGAUUGAUAAGUCAGGGGUGAAAUCCCGGGGCUCAACCUCGGAAUUGCCUUUGAUACUGUCUGUCUCGAGUUCGGGAGAGGUUGGCGGAAUUCCUAGUGUAGAGGUGAAAUUCGUAGAUAUUAGGAAGAACACCAGUGGCGAAGGCCGCCAACUGGCCCGAUACUGACGCUCAUGUACGAAAGCGUGGGGAGCAAACAGGAUUAGAUACCCUGGUAGUCCACGCUGUAAACUAUGGAUGCUAGCCGUUGGGGAGCUUGCUCUUCAGUGGCGCAGCUAACGUCUUAAGCAUCCCGCCUGGGGAGUACGGUCGCAGAUUAAAACUCA